GAGGAUAUUGCUCAGCAGUAGAGCACAUGCUUAGCAAGCACAGGGUCCUGGGUUCAAUUCCUGGUACCUCCA
rnacentral:tRNA from 1 species